rnacentral:rRNA from 1 species
CUUACGGGUGAGUAACGCGUGGGAACAUACCCUUUCCUGCGGAAUAGCUCCGGGAAACUGGAAUUAAUACCGCAUACGCCCUACGGGGGAAAGAUUUAUCGGGGAAGGAUUGGCCCGCGUUGGAUUAGCUAGUUGGUGGGGUAAAGGCCUACCAAGGCGACGAUCCAUAGCUGGUCUGAGAGGAUGAUCAGCCACAUUGGGACUGAGACACGGCCCAAACUCCUACGGGAGGCAGCAGUGGGGAAUAUUGGACAAUGGGCGCAAGCCUGAUCCAGCCAUGCCGCGUGAGUGAUGAAGGCCUUAGGGGUUGGUAAAGCUUCUUUCACCCGAUGAAGAUAAUGACCNGUAGUCGGAAGAAGAAGCCCCGGCUAACNUUCGUGCCAGCAGCCCGCGGUAAUACNAAGGGGCUUUANCCCGUUGUUCCGGAAUUACUUGGGGCCGUAAAGC